rnacentral:rRNA from 1 species
AUUGAACGCUGGCGGCAGGCCUAACACAUGCAAGUCGAACGAGUGGCGGACGGGUGAGUAAUGUCUGGGAAACUGCCUGAUGGAGGGGGAUAACUACUGGAAAAGGUAGCUAAUACCGCAUACCAUCGGAUGUGCCCAGAUGGGAUUAGGUAGUAGGGGGGGUAACGGCUCACCUAGGCGACGGUCCCUAGCAGGUCUGAGAGGAUGACCAGCCACACUGGAACUGAGACACGGUCCAGGCUCCUACGGGAGGCAGCAGUGGUGAAUAUUGCACAAUGGGCGCAAGCCUGAGGCAGCCAUGCCGAGUGUAUGAAGAAGGCCUUCGUGUUGUAAAGUACUUUCAGCGGGGAGGCGUUACCCGCAGAAGAAGCACCGGCUAACUCCGUGCCAGCAGCCGCGGUAAUAC